rnacentral:misc_RNA from 1 species
GGGACAGGUACAGAGACACGACGGUUCCUGUAUUGUUUACGAUGCUUCCGAACAGAUUCUAGCUCUUUUUUUAGUACACCAAUUUGAGUACGUAAAAUUCUCUUGUCUACUUCGAUCUGUUUUUCACCCAUACCCUUGACCUGCCCUCCAGCUUGACGCUCAAGGUGAGUCCACAUACGGGUUAACCGUGGUAAUUGGUAUUCCAUUUGUGCCAAUGACACCUGUAAAGAUGCUUCACGGGUUGCUGCACGCUGGUUGAAAAUAUCCAGUAUGAGAGCAGUGCGAUCACACACUCUAACAUCUCCACCAAAAGC